AACGAACGCUGGCGGCAUGCCUAACACAUGCAAGUCGAACGAAAACCUUCGGGGUCUAUUGGCUCACCGGUGCGUAACGCGUGGGAAUCUGCCCUUGUGUUCUGCCUAACAGUUAGAAAUGACUUCUAAUACCGGAUGAUAACGUUAAGUCCAAAGUUUUAUCGCCUGGGGAUGAUCCCUCGUAGGCUUGGCUUGUUGGUGUGGUAAAGGUACACCAAGGCGACGAUGCUUAGCUGGUCUGAUAGGCGGAUCAGCUACACUGGGACUGAGACACGGACCAGACCCGGACGGGAGGGAGCAGUGGGGAAUAUAGUACAAGGGAGGCAAGUCUGACACAGCAAUGCGGGGGGAGUGAUGAAUGGGUUAGGGUUGUACAGCCGUUUGACACGGGAUGAUAAUGACAGUACCGGGAGAAGAAGCCCCGGCUAACUCCGUG
rnacentral:rRNA from 1 species